UGUCAGAAGCAUACCACUCUGCAUCCUCCUGCUGGCUUGCCUCUGAAGUUAAGCAGGGUUGGUCCUGCUUGGUCCCUCAAUGGGAGACCAGAUGCUGCUGGAAGUGGUGU
rnacentral:rRNA from 1 species